rnacentral:rRNA from 1 species
UACGUAGGGUGCAAGCGUUGUCCGGAAUUAUUGGGCGUAAAGAGCUCGUAGGCGGUUUGUUGCGUCGGCUGUGAAAUCCCGAGGCUCAACCUCGGGUCUGCAGUCGAUACGAGCAAACUAGAGUGUUGCAGGGGAGACUGGAAUUCCUGGUGUAGCGGUGAAAUGCGCAGAUAUCAGGAGUAACACCGGUGGCGAAGGCGGGUCUCUGGGCAACAACUGACGCUGAGGAGCGAAAGCGUGGGGAGCGAACAGG